CCUUUCAACCACAGCAGGUCCCAUUGCAGGCCUCUUGUUUAUCUCCACUUACAAGGUUGCCUUCUGCAGUGAGAGAUCAAUCAAAUUCACUUCUGCUAAUGGCAAAUCAUUCAGAAUCCAUUACAAGGUAACACAAAAAGAAAACAAAAAUCCACUCUCCUUCUGUCUGCUCUCAGUAUUGUAGAUUCUAAAUACAUGGACUUCUGCAGGUUGUGAUCCCACUUACAAAGAUUAGAAGAGUUAGAAAGAGUGAAAACAUGAAGAAACCAUCUCAAAAGUACAUGGAAAUAGUUACUGUGGAUGAGUUUGAUUUCUGGUUUAUGGGUUUCUUGAAUUAUCAGAAGACAUUCAAAUGUCUUGAGCAGGCAGUCUCCCAAAACAUGGAUGAUUAAUCUGCAAGUCACUUCACCGGUGACUUGAAAACACUGUAAUUAGCAUUACCUCAUUGCAUUCUGUUUCAUGAAGAGAUACAUGAGUGGUGAAUAUAAUUUUUCAACAGUCGCUCAUUACUGAUAAUUGUUGUUUCCUGUUGUCCAGUGUUAUGAGAAUUCAGGUAAUAGAAAAUAGAAAAGACCAUUACUGUUGAUGAAGGAUUGCAGAAGAUUCAUAAAUCAUAAUAACCUACCAAAAUAAAUAAUUGCAUCUAACUACUAUUAUAAAGUAGUUUCAGAAGCAGGAACCUUCAGAAGGGCAAUGCAUAACAUAAAAUUAGUUGAAUUAAUUAAGAGUCUUGUGGGUUAAACUUGCUUUUUUGAAAAAGCAGCUUGUUCAGUGAUUUUAAUGUUGUUAUAACUAAAACAUGUCAAAUUUAACUUGAAAGUAAUUCCUGAUAACUUCCAACUAACAUAUUUAAGGAAUGCUUUUCUUUUUCAACAAUGGUCUAAGAUCUCUUUCAAACAGACCCUAGGAGUUGAAUUCAAGGCACUUUGCAUGAUUGGUGAACUACUUCAAAUUCAGAGACCUUAAUCCCUAGGAAACCUAUUAAUUGUUAGUUGGACAAUGAAAGAACACAUCAAAGCGUCUCUUCAAGAUAAAUGCUAGCCAUGGUCAUUUGAAACACUAUCCAUCCUAUUAGUUGAGUUGAAAAGUAUAUGAUCGAUGAUCAUUUUGAAAGUUACCGUCACUAGCAUUUCUCUUCCUUUGAUAUCCAUACACAUGUAAUGCCACACCAGUUACUAACUGCAGCUAGCUUCCCUUGGCAAAACUCUGUCCAAAAAAACUUGCUCUUCUUUGAUGGGCCAACAGUUGCAAACCUUGACGACAUUGGAAGUAAAUUUUAUUAGCAAAAUUAUUAAUAAUUAUCUACUGUUGUUGAUACCUUAGUUGCAACACCACCAAGAAUAGGUCAAAAAAAAAACAAUCAAUUUCAGCUGUUCCAAAAGUGCUUCUGUUACCUCUUUCUUCAUUUCUAUCUUCCUUUGAAAACUAACAAAUGGUAUCACAGCCAAAAUUCUUCAAGGACUAUUGCGAUUACACAAAUAUCAAGCCAAUUAAUUAGGAAAAUUGAAGUAGAAUCAACUAUCAAGAUGGAGCAUUAGAAUAAGAUUUCAUCUUUGGGAUGCAGUUGAAGAAGAUUAUCAACUUCUUGAUCUUCCCACCAAUCCAACAAUGAAUCAAAUGAAAAUUCACAAGGAGAAAAAACACAACCAGCAAAAGCCACGGCUUUUUGUUUCUCCCAGCGUAUCCACAAGAAUUACGAAACUGCCUUCAACAAAAGCCAUAUGAGAUGAGCUUAAGAAGAAGUUAUGUUAGUGUUUGUAGAUCCAUGAUGCUGAUAAGGCUUAGUUGCAACAUCACCAAGAAUAGGUCAAAAAUAUAAAAGAUGCUUUUGUUGCCCUUUUCUUCAUUUUUUGCUUCUUUUGAAAACCAACAUUUACUACUCAACCCAUAAUAUCUAAUAUAAACUCAUAUCAGAACAGGUUUAACAACCAUUAGUGAACGAAAUUUAUACACAAUUAAUUAAAGUGUACAUAGUGAAUGCACAUACAUCUAAAUAUUUAAUCUAAUGCUUAUUAAGUUCAUUCUCACAUAAGCUUGAGUUUAUAAUAAGGUUUCGUGUUUGAGUCCAAUUGCAAAUAAAGCAGUUUUUAACAAUUGGUGCUCAUUCAUCAAGGAUCCAACUACUCAAUUUCCAUUCCUUAAAAUUGAAGUUUCCUUUAGCAAGUAGCUAUUUCCUGAAAGAUAGGUAGCAUUACAAAUCAACAGAACAACUUCACUUCCAAGAUUUCAUCACUCUGCAACUGCAGCCGUUGACCAGCUUUUCCCUCGGUUUUCCUCCCUUUUCGCUUAUGCAGCAUCCUCCUUAUUCCUUGAGAGGAAUCUUUACAGUUAUAGAUUCAGAUAAUAUACAUAUGAUAUUCUAAAUUUAAUUUCUUUUUCAUAUCUAAUCUACAAUUGAAUCCCACACCAUCAUCACCAUGUAUUGGUUACAAGUCUUAGAUGACCCAUGUGAGAAACGUGGGUGAUGUGGAAAUGACAUGGCAAUUGCCUGGCUUUCCUUAAGCAUGUAAACAAUGAAGACUUAUUCAGUCUGCAUUGGUACUAUCGUAAAUCUUAAAAGAAACUUAGUGAAAUGGGCAAAUAUGGCUGCCCAGUCACCCCACUGAGAUUUUGAGAAAAAAGAAAAAUCACCACUGAGAUAAAAAAAAANNNNNNNNNNNNNNNNNNNNNNNNNNNNNNNNNNNNNNNNNNNNNNNNNNNNNNNNNNNNNNNNNNNNNNNNNNNNNNNNNNNNNNNNNNNNNNNNNNNNNNNNNNNNNNNNNNNNNNNNNNNNNNNNNNNNNNNNNNNNNNNNNNNNNNNNNUUUUUAAUAAUUGCUCCAACUAGAAUUUGAACUCAAGACCAACAGCCCAGAAACAUCUCUAAUACUUCGAGGCAAGAGCUCGUUGGUAGAUUCAAGUCUCAUUGAAAUGUUAGAUUGAAAGUAUCUCUAUGCUGAUUCUUUUGUUAUCUUCACUUUGCUUUACAAGAAAAACUUUAGAAAAACUUUGGUUUACGUCAGUUCUAAUCUAAUUAGCAUGAUUAUGAUGUAUCUUCUACUUUAUUUUUUGAUAAAAACAACUGUCUGCUGCCUACGAUUUUGAAUUUUGAUUGAUCCAACAUGACAUGGUCCUGCAAAUGACUUUUGAUGGUUUCUUCUUUUUUUUUUUAAGCGAUACAAGAGGGAUGCUGCCAUCAGAAAGCUAAAGUGACAGCUCAAAAGGCUUUAAGGACACUCCCUUGCACAGUCAGCACUUGGGAUUAAAAGAUCACAAAAAAGCAUGUAGGGUGUUGGUUAGGAUUGUAUGACUAAAAGGCUGUUUCAACUAAUCAAGAAAUCUUCUUUUUUACUUUGGUCCCAUUUUAGAUUUUCCUCAGAUUUCCUGUCUUUUUUUCUUCAAAGAAAUUUUCAAGAACACAUUUGCUCUACCUCCAUCUAUAAUGUUUCACCUUAAUACUGCAAAAAUGAUCUCAUUUGUUUGAAGAUCUACAUUUAAUGGGAAUAUAGAGAAUGAGUUUCAAAUGUUAGGAAAUUUGUGGUGAGAUAUUAUCUUUAUUAAUGUGAUUUUUGGAGAAUUUAAACUAGAGGAAGAAAUGGGCUCACAAUACCUUUUCUUAAAAGCAAUCAGACAUAUCUUUUCUUCUUAUAUCUUUCCUUAACAUAUAAUAUUAUAUCAUGUUGGAUCAUUUUGUGUGCCUUUGUCAAUGGGGUUGAGCCAUGGAUGACUCAUACAAUGAAAAGUCGAGAUUCACCAACCUCACAUAUCCUUUUAUAUAUACUGGCACAAUACAAGUUUUAUCAACCACAGCAUCUUACCUCUCUCUACCUUUCUCACAGCAAAGCGCAUUCUGUUCUUCCAGAAAUCCACACAGAAUUUUCUAGGGAAAAAGCAAGAAGUGAAUCUUCUUCACUCCUUAAUCAAAUAUGAAGAAUUUGUCUCAGGAACAGGUUAUUGGAGUCCCAAUCAUAUCAGCAGCAAAACCAGUUCAGAAAAUGCCAAGACUUUUACUUGAAAAUGAUUCGGAAUGCUAUGUUCCAACUCCUGCAAAUAAAUCUCUCACGAUCAAGCAAGGUAUCAGUUUCUGAUCCUCACUAUCUUUAUCUUCCCCAUCUAAACAGAUGAUGGCGUUUUUACUAAUCAGUUAGAGAUGAUAUUGCAGAUAAACUAGACUCGGUGCUUAAAAGAAUGAACAAGCUAGGUAAAAAGGCUGACAAAUUUGCUCAUGGAAUCAGAGAGCACGGUAAGAUGGUCCCAAUAUUCUGUUGUGUGAGAACCUUAAUGAACAAUGAAUGAUAGCUAAAUUCAUCUCAAUUUUGUAUGAAUACAGUCAGACUGGGAAGCAAGAUUACUGAAACUUUGAAGGGGAAGCUCAGCAUGGGAGCUAGAAUUCUUCAAGUAGGAGGAGUGAAGAAAGUUUUUAGACAGUUAUUCACUGUUAGAGAAGGAGAGAAAUUGUUAAAGGCUUGUCAAUGUUAUUUGUCAACAACAGCAGGCCCUAUCGCAGGAAUGCUCUUUAUGUCUACUGACAAGAUAGCCUUUUGCAGUGAGAGAUCAAUUAAGUUUUCUUCUCCAGAAGGAAAAGUGGCUAGAGUCCAUUACAAGGUAAUACAAAAUAACAUUGCAUCUCCCUCCCUCUCUCUCUCUCUCUCUCUCUCUCCCUUUCUUUGCUUUCUUACAUCUUUAAGGAGCACUAACAGAGGCCCUGGAAAAAUACCAAAUUCAUGUAGGUCUUGAUUCCACUAAGAAAGAUAAAGACGGCAAACCAAAGUGAAAAUGUGAAGAAGCCAUCACAAAAAUACAUAGAAAUAGUGACUGUUGAUGACUUCGAUUUCUGGUUUAUGGGUUUCUUAAAUUAUCAGAAAGCUUUGAAGUGUCUUCAGCAAGCAAUUUCUCAAGCUUGGAUGUAUACAAGUCACCCAAAUGUGAUCUAAAGAAAGCUUAUGCUUCUUUUCUUCAUCAAAUGUAACUAAACAGCCUGAUGACAUGUCAACAUAAUUAGUUGACCACAAAAAUUGUACAUAAGUUUUUAUGAAUGAGAAUGGUUCAUGAUUUAUCUGAAGAAUGAUCUUCAUAUAGCCAAUCCUGUACUACUUGUAGAUUAAAUUCCACAAACAUGUUCCUCUCGAAGGCUGGCUUGUACGCUUGGGUUAGGUAAGUUAACAAGUCAGAAACAAGUUGAUAAAGGCUGAUUCCAGCCUUUAAGCUGCUUGACAAGCACUUGAAAACCAGAUAUCAAGCAUAUGCUUGCAGCCUUAUCCAAAACAAGUGGAGCAACUAGGCUAUCUGGUUGUCAAGUUGCAUAGAAACAUUAGAGCAGCUACCUGACACAAUUGUAACCUCACAAGAACUACCAUAUUUGCUAACUACCUAACACAAUUGUAACCUCACAGGAAGUACCACAUUUGCUAACAUCUGUGGACAAUUUUAACCUCACUACAAUUUUAUUUGAAUAAGUAUGCUAAUUUCAUGCGCAUUUAUUCACUUCUGAAUGUCAUAAGAUAACUUAAUCUUGGAAGAUAUGCAGCACCUCAGUCUGGCUUUUGAAAGUAACUUGCUUUCAAAGCACUGAUCCCUCGCAACCCACUAAAUUAUGAAAGCAAAAGUUGGUGGCUAAUAAUGAAAAGAAUCUAUAGGAAUUUAGAACCAUACCAGAUGAGCCUUUUUUGACAAAAUGAUUCCAUCUUCUAUUGAUAGUGUCUGUCCUAGUAGCAGAUCACGAUUCCCUGUCCAUUCAUUCACAUGGCAGGCAUAAACACUACUAGCAUUGCAUACCUAAACAAACUCCAACAUCAGGACCCACACUUUCCACCAUGUCUUCAAAUUAUAAAUUCGCUAACUGCCAAAGUACCUACCGUAAGAUUCCAAGCUGGUAGCAACUACAUAGUCAAGGAAAUAAAUUAGAUGGAAGAACCUUCCAAAGUGGUUACACCUGAAUGCAUUUCUUAUUUUCAUUUGCUCAAAAUAUUGUAUCGUUGGUUGACAUAACCAGAUUCUCUAACCACCUGGAAUCAUUUACAAUUCACCUAAUUUGCAGUCAGAAUCCUAAAGCUGGCUUGUUUCAUUUUAGCUGAAAAAACUAAACAAUAAACCAGAAGAAAAAAAGCUUUCCAAAAACACCUACC
rnacentral:lncRNA from 1 species